GAUGAACGCUGGCGGCGUGCCUAAUACAUGCCAGUCGAGCGAACGGACGAGAAGCUUGCUUCUCUGAUGUUAGCGGCGGACGGGUGAGUAACACGUGGAUAACCUACCUAUAAGACUGGGAUAACUUCGGGAAACCGGAGCUAAUACCGGAUAAUAUUUUGAACCGCAUGGUUCAAAAGUGAAAGACGGUCUUGCUGUCACUUAUAGAUGGAUCCGCGCUGCAUUAGCUAGUUGGUAAGGUAACGGCUUACCAAGGCAACGAUGCAUAGCCGACCUGAGAGGGUGAUCGGCCACACUGGAACUGAGACACGGUCCAGACUCCUACGGGAGGCAGCAGUAGGGAAUCUUCCGCAAUGGGCUAAAGCCUGACGGAGCAACGCCGCGUGAGUGAUGAAGGUCUUCGGAUCGUAAAACUCUGUUAUUAGGGAAGAACAUAUGUGUAAGUAACUGUGCACAUCUUGACGGUACCUAAUCAGAAAGCCACGGCUAACUACGUG
rnacentral:rRNA from 1 species